CCUACGGGAGGGCAGCAGUGAGGAAUAUUGGUCAAUGGACGCAAGUCUGAACCAGCCAUGCCGCGUGCAGGAAGACGGCUCUAUGAGUUGUAAACUGCUUUUGUACGAGGGUAAACGCAGAUACGCGUAUCUGUCUGAAAGUAUCGUACGAAUAAGGAGCGGCUAACUCCGUGCCAGCAGCCGGGGUAAUACGGAGGAUUCAAGCGUUAUCCGGUUUUAGUGGGUUUAAAGGGUGCGUAGGCGGUCGGAUAAGUUAGAGGUGAAAUCCCGCGGCUCACCUUCGGAAUUGCCUCUGAUACUGUUCUGCUAGAGAGUAGUUGCGGUAGGCGGAAUGUAUGGUGUAGCGGUGAAAUGCUUAGAGAUCAUACAGAACACCGAUUGCGAAGGCAGCUUACCAAGCUACUUCUGACGUUGAGGCACGAAAGCGUGGGGAGCAAACAGGAUUAGAUACCCCUGGUAGUC
rnacentral:rRNA from 1 species